GGCCUUGUAGCUCAGUCGGUUAGAGAGUUGGCCGUACUAAAGCCUUCCCCUUGCUGACGUGGGUUCGAAUCCCACGGAGGCCG
rnacentral:tRNA from 1 species